rnacentral:lncRNA from 1 species
GCGCCUGUGCUGAAACAGUCUGCGACUGUUUCCAGGAGUCUGUGCUUUCCUCCCAAGGGGCCGGCCAGGAAGGCCCACCUUGGAGACGGCUGCUGCUCACCCUUUCCACUGAUUUCUCCCGGGAGCUCAAAGCCACCCAUUACGGAAACCGUCCACUGCUGAGGCAAUUUCUUUCCACCCAGAGAGGAAAUGGCCCUUGUGGUGAAAGCCAGGCUCCCAUCUCCUCUAGAUUUUUAGUCACUUCAUGCUCCCAGCCAAGGCCAUGGGCUCCUUGCUGAGGAGUUUGAGCCUCAGCUUUGCCUUGCUGUGUGACCUUGGGGCUGAAAUGACACUGAGCUCCCAGGCAGCUGGAUACUGAGCUCCCUUGGCGUGUGCCUGCCAGCCCCCGAGGCCUGAUCCCCUGUGUCUGUGCAAUUGGAGUCUCCUCACCAGCUAGCUCUGUGACUUUACACCAGCCUCUCAGUUUCUCUGAGCUUUGAUGUUCUUAUCUAUGAAAUGGGGUGGUGGGGAAUCAAAGGAAACGAUGGGUGUAAAUUGCUUCCCUUUAAGAUCACCUCUUUCCCUCCAGUGGCAGCUCUAACUCAGGUUCUCUCAACCCUGGCUGUCACUUAGAAUCCCCUGGUAGCUUUCAAAACCUAGCGAUGCUCUGUGGGCUUCCCCCUCGCCUUUCCAACUCAGCGGGUCUUGAAUGAGACCUG